UGGGGAAUUUUGGACAAUGGGCGAAAGCCUGAUCCAGCAAUGCCGCGUGUGUGAAGAAGGCCUUCGGGUUGUAAAGCACUUUUGUCCGGAAAGAAAUCCUUGGCUCUAAUACAGUCGGGGGAUGACGGUACCGGAAGAGUAAGCACCGGCUAACUACGUGCCAGCAGCCGCGGUAAUACGUAGGGUGCAAGCGUUAAUCGGAAUUACUGGGCGUAAAGCGUGCGCAGGGCGGUUUGCUAAGACCGAUGUGAAAUCCCCGGGCUCAACCUGGGAACUGCAUUGGUGACUGGCAGGCUAGAGUAUGGCAGAGGGGGGUAGAAUUCCACGUGUAGCAGUGAAAUGCGUAGAGAUGUGGAGGAAUACCGAUGGCGAAGGCAGCCCCCUGGGCCAAUACUGACGCUCAUGCACGAAAGCGUGGGGAGCAAACAGGAUUAGAUACCCUGGUAGUCCACGCCCUAAACGAUGUCAACUAGUUGUUGGGGAUUCAUUUCCUUAGUAACGUAGCUAACGCGUGAAGUUGACCG
rnacentral:rRNA from 1 species